rnacentral:rRNA from 1 species
AGGGUCCUAAAGGAACGUUUAAGACUAAGACGUUGAUAGGUUGGGUGUGUAAGCAUAGCGAUAUGUUGAGCUAACCAAUACUAAUGAACCGUGAGGCUUAACCUGACAACACCGAAGGUGUUUUAG